UUCAUCAGCAGAUCACCAUUCCACUGAGCUGAUCGCUGUUGUUAUUGUUGAAGGUCAUCGAGGUCAGCCGUUCAAAUCUUAGAAAACUCCUCUUUCAAACGCUCACUGACUCAUUCCAUGACGACGCUGGAGAACCGAAGCAACGCGUCAUGAAAUGGGUUCAUUCUUUUUGAAGAACCCUGUAUGUUUGGUUAAAAAUGUG